rnacentral:rRNA from 1 species
GCGUUGCUCGGAUUCAUUGGGCGUAAAGGGUGCGUAGGCGGCGCUGUAAGUGGGGUGUGAAAUCCCGGGGCUUAACCCCGGGACUGCAUUCCAUACUGCGGUGCUUGAGGACUGGAGAGGAGACUGGAAUUUACGGUGUAGCAGUGAAAUGCGUAGAGAUCGUAAGGAAGACCAGUGGCGAAGGCGGGUCUCUGGGCAGUUCCUGACGCUGAGGCACGAAGGCCAGGGGAGCAAACAGG